UACGUAGGGUGCAAGCGUUGUUCGGAUUUACUGGGCGUAAAGGGCGCGUAGGCGGCGUGACAAGUCACUUGUGAAAUCUCUGGGCUUAACCCAGAACGGCCAAGUGAAACUGUUGUGCUAGAGUGCAGAAGGGGCAAUCGGAAUUCUCGGUGUAGCGGUGAAAUGCGUAGAUAUCGAGAGGAACACCAGAGGUGAAGACGGGUUGCUGGGCUGACACUGACGCUGAGGCGCGAAAGCCAGGGGAGCAAACGGG
rnacentral:rRNA from 1 species